rnacentral:rRNA from 1 species
GGGGAAUAUUGCGCAAUGGGGGAAACCCUGACGCAGCAACGCCGCGUGAAGGAUGAAGGUUUUCGGAUCGUAAACUUCUUUGAUGAGGGACGAACAAAUGACGGUACCUCAAAAACAAGCCACGGCUAACUACGUGCCAGCAGCCGCGGUAAUACGUAGGUGGCGAGCGUUGUCCGGAAUUACUGGGUGUAAAGGGCGUGUAGGCGGGAAUGCAAGUCAGAUGUGAAAUACCGGGGCUUAACUCCGGGGCUGCAUCUGAAACUGUGUUUCUUGAGUGUCGGAGAGGAAAGUGGAAUUCCCAGUGUAGCGGUGAAAUGCGUAGAGAUUGGGAGGAACACCAGUGGCGAAGGCGACUUUCUGGACGAUAACUGACGCUGAGGCGCGAAAGCGUGGGGAGCAAAC